rnacentral:rRNA from 1 species
UACGUAGGGUGCGAGCGUUAAUCGGAAUUACUGGGCGUAAAGCGCGCGUAGGCGGCCCGGUAAGUCCGCUCUGAAAGUCCAGGGCUCAACCCUGGAAAGCGGGUGGAUACUGCCGGGCUAGAAUCCGGAAGAGGCGAGUGGAAUUCCUGGUGUAGCGGUGAAAUGCGCAGAUAUCAGGAGGAACACCGGUGGCGAAGGCGGAUCUCUGGGCCAGUACUGACACUGAGGAGCGAAAGCGUGGGUAGCAAACAGG